rnacentral:rRNA from 1 species
ACACAUGCAGUCGAGCGGCAGCGACACAUUGAACCUUCGGGGGAUUUGUUGGGCGGCGAGCGGCGGACGGGUGAGUAAUGCCUGGGAAAUUGCCCUGAUGUGGGGGAUAACCAUUGGAAACGAUGGCUAAUACCGCAUGAUAGCUUCGGCUCAAAGAGGGGGACCUUCGGGCCUCUCGCGUCAGGAUAUGCCCAGGUGGGAUUAGCUAGUUGGUGAGGUAAGGGCUCACCAAGGCGACGAUCCCUAGCUGGUCUGAGAGGAUGAUCAGCCACACUGGAACUGAGACACGGUCCAGACUCCUACGGGAGGCAGCAGUGGGGAAUAUUGCACAAUGGGCGCAAGCCUGAUGCAGCCAUGCCGCGUGUAUGAAGAAGGCCUUCGGGUUGUAAAGUACUUUCAGCAGUGAGGAAGGGGGUAUCGUUAAUAGCGGUAUCUUUUGACGUUAGCUGCAGAAGAAGCACCGGCUAACUCCGUGCCAGCAGCCGCGGUAAUACGGAGGGUGCGAGCGUUAAUCGGAAUUACUGGGCGUAAAGCGCAUGCAGGUGGUUUGUUAAGUCAGAUGUGAAAGCCCGGGGCUCAACCUCGGAAUUGCAUUUGAAACUGGCAGGCUAGAGUACUGUAGAGGGGGGGUAGAAUUUCAGGUGUAGCGGUGAAAUGCGUAGAGAUCUGAAAGGAAUACCGGUGGCGAAAGGCGGCCCCCUGGACAGAUACUGACACUCAGAUGCGAAAGCGUGGGAGCAAACAGGAUUAGAUACCCUGGUUAGUCCACCGCCGUAAACGAUGUCUUA